rnacentral:rRNA from 1 species
AUUGAACGCUGGCGGCAGGCCUAACACAUGCAAGUCGAGCGGAUGAAGGGAGCUUGCUCCUGGAUUCAGCGGCGGACGGGUGAGUAAUGCCUAGGAAUCUGCCUGGUAGUGGGUGAUAACGUCCGGAAACGGGCGCUAAUACCGCAUACGUCCUGAGGGAGAAAGUGGGGGAUCUUCGGACCUCACGCUAUCAGAUGAGCCUAGGUCGGAUUAGCUAGUUGGUGGGGUAAAGGCCUACCAAGGCGACGAUCCGUAACUGGUCUGAGAGGAUGAUCAGUCACACUGGAACUGAGACACGGUCCAGACUCCUACGGGAGGCAGCAGUGGGCAAUAUUGGACAAUGGGCGAAAGCCUGAUCCAGCCAUGCCGCGUGUGUGAAGAAGGUCUUCGGAUUGUAAAGCACUUUAAGUUGGGAGGAAGGGCAGUAAGUUAAUACCUUGCUGUUUUGACGUUACCAACAGAAUAAGCACCGGCUAACUUCGUG